AAGGGUCCGUAGGCGGUUUAAUAAGUCAGUGGUGAAAGCCCAUCGCUCAACGGUGGAACGGCCAUUGAUACUGUUAGACUUGAAUUAUUAGGAAGUAACUAGAAUAUGUAGUGUAGCGGUGAAAUGCUUAGAGAUUACAUGGAAUACCAAUUGCGAAGGCAGGUUACUACUAAUUGAUUGACGCUGAUGGACGAAAGCGUGGGUAGCGAACAGGAUUAGAUACCCUGGUAGUCCACGCCGUAAACGAUGGAUACUAGCUGUUGGGAGCAAUCUCAGUGGCUAAGCGAAAGUGAUAAGUAUCCCACCUGGGGAGUACGUUCGCAAGAAUGAAACUCAAAUGAAUUGACGGGGGCCCGCACAAGCGGUGGAGCAUGUGGUUUAAUUCGAUGCAACGCGAAAAACCUUACCUGGUCUUGACAUCCACGGAAUUCGGCAGAGAUGCCUUAGUGCCUUCGGGAACCGUGAGACAGGUGCUGCAUGGCUGUCGUCAGCUCGUGUUGUGAAAUGUUGGGUUAAAGUCCUAUAACGAGCGCACCCCUGUU
rnacentral:rRNA from 1 species